rnacentral:rRNA from 1 species
UACAGAGGGUGCGAGCGUUGUUCGGAAUUAUUGGGCGUAAAGCGCGUGUAGGCGGGCUGGCAAGUCGGGUGUGAAAGCCCUCAGCUCAACUGAGGAAGUGCGCCCGAAACUACUGUUCUUGAGUGUCGGAGAGGGUGGCGGAAUUCCCGGUGUAGAGGUGAAAUUCGUAGAUAUCGGGAGGAACACCAGAGGCGAAGGCGGCCACCUGGACGAACACUGACGCUGAGACGCGAAAGCGUGGGGAGCAAACAGG